GUGUCAGCAGCCGCGGUAAUACGUAGGGUGCAAGCGUUAAUCGGAAUUACUGGGCGUAAAGGGUGCGCAGGCGGUUCGGAAAGAAAGGUGUGAAAUCCCAGAGCUUAACUUUGGAACUGCACUUUUAACUACCGGGCUAGAGUAUGUCAGAGGGGGGUAGAAUUCCGCGUGUAGCAGUGAAAUGCGUAGAUAUGCGGAGGAAUACCGAUGGCGAAGGCAGCCCCCUGGGAUAAUACUGACGCUCAGGCACGAAAGCGUGGGGAGCAAACAGGAUUAGAUACCCUGGUAGUCCACGCCCUAAACGAUGUCAACUAGCUGUUGGGGGUUAUUACCCUUAGUAGCGCAGCUAACGCGUGAAGUUGACCGCCUGGGGACUACGGUCGCAAGACUAAA
rnacentral:rRNA from 1 species